CCUACGGGAGGCAGCAGUGGGGGAUAUUGCACAAUGGGGGACACCCUGAUGCAGCGCCGCCGCGUGGGUGAAGAAGCGCCUCGGCGCGUAAAGCCCUGUCAGCAGGGAAGAAACUGACGGUACCUGAAGCAGAAGCCCCGGCUAACUACGUGCCAGCAGCCGCGGUAAUACGUAGGGGGCAAGCGUUAUCCGGAUUUACUGGGUGGAAAGGGGGCGCAGACGGCGAUGCAAGCCAGGAGUGAAAGCCCGGGGCCCAACCCCGGGACUGCGCUUGGAACUGCGUGGCUAGAGAUCGGAUGCAGCAGGCGGAAUGUGUAGUGUAGCGGUGAAAUGCAUAGAUAUUACACAGAACACCGAUUGCGAAGGCAGCUUGCUAGGCCGGAUCUGACACUGAUGCACGAAAGCGUGGGGAUCGAACAGGAUUAGAUACCCGGGUAGUC
rnacentral:rRNA from 1 species